AGGGACAGGCCGAAAGGAAAGAAGGACAGGGAGUGUAGGACCUGGGGCUACUGAUGGGUGGUCUUGCCCGGAGUGCAGGGAGGACACAAGUUGCCCCGCUGCCCCGAGUCACCCUGCUCGCCGCACUUCCCUCUCGGAGGGGGCGAGGCCAGCCGCGGAGUGCAGGGCCGACCGUGACCCUCACCGGGGUAGCACAGGGGGGGACAGCGAGGCGUCCCGGCUCGAAGGGACCAGGGCAACAGGGCGCAUAGGACGGUGCCCAAGGCGCGCCCACCCGCUCGCUCGCUCGUCCGAUCCGGUCCCGUUCGGUCUCCUCGGACCGGGGAGCGGCGGGUGAGGGCGGUGCCCGGCCCGGCUCCCCAGGGGUCCCCGAGCCCCGCCGCGCCCCGCACCUUUGAUCACGUUGCUGUAGAUGGUGGGGCGGAACUCCUCGCGCGCGCGCUGGUCGAAGUCCUGGCCGUGGAUGAUCCGCAUCUGCUUCAGGAAGGUGGACUUGCCGCUCUCGCCCGCGCCCAGCAGCAGGAUCUUCACCAGCCGCUUCACCCUCCAUAAAGACAUCCCUGAGCUGCCACUGACCAGCUGAAACCUCAGCUCAUCCUCAGUCAGAGGUUCAGAGACACGCAUCGGUGACCCCAGACACACCUUGCUCUGAAGCGUCAGACCCAUUACAGGCUGUUGGUUUAUACAGCACUACACGAAGCCCUGCCCGCACACACACAUUCCUUGAUGUGCAUGCAGAGGCCAGAGCAGGAUGUUGAGGCAAGGUCUCUCAUUGAAGCAGAUGUUCCCCAUUUCAGGUAGACUGGCUGGCCAGUAAGAUCUGGAUGUCAACCUUUUUUUGUCCCCCAGUGGGCACAUCAGCGAGGCCCAGCUUCUUUUGUACAGAUGCUAUACAUACAUUUGAACCCCUUCUUGCAGAGCAGGCCUUCUUACUCAAUGUGCCAUCUCCCUCACCAUCCCUGACUUCCCCCCCAUCUUGAAAUAGGUUCUCACUAUGGAGCCCAGGGUGGCCUUAGCCACUGGAGUGCUGGGACUGUGGUGACGUCACCAGGGCUGCCUCUCUUGUCACUUUGAAAGAUGACAGGUGCUUGCUUCUUACCAGAGACAGAAAUUGUUUAAAUGCAAGUUGUUUUUUCCCAAGGAAAUUCAAAUCUGCCCCCAGUCCGAUGGCAGCGCCCAGUCCGAUGGCAGCGGGUUUUCCAGGGGAGCACUGGGUUAGCAGGUUCCUGCCACUUCAGGCAAUCAGUCUACUGUGGCUGGCUGGCAGGCUUAGUUUUCAGGUAUUGUCACAUGUCAUGGCCCGCUAAGCUGGCCUUUGCCUCACUGAGAAAAUGCUGGGAUGGAGUGCAUCAGCUGGGUUUGCCUCACAGCUGUAAAGGUCCAUCCAGGGGCUCUGAGAAAUGGCCCACAUGGCUGGUGUCUGUCUGUGACAAGGCUCCCUCCCGGAGCAAAUAAUGUCAUCAGCUCAUCCUGAUUCCACUGUCAGCUGCUAAGGAAAAACGGUGAUGAAGGAAGGAUUCAGAGAAGGCAGCAGCUGCUGAGUCAGAAUGAUGGUGUUGGAAGGCUCACAGGAGGCUUUCGGGCCAGCGCCCUUCUGCUUCAGCUAGCCUACUGCUGCUGCCCUGCCAGGAUCCCGAGGGAGAGGAGAGGGGACAGCAAGAGCCAGGGAAAGUGGCUCAAGAAGUUUGUGCUUCCGAGGGAAAGCUCCUUUAGGGAGAGAGCUCAGCUACCCCUCUUUCAAAUCAGGUGUGACUCUUAGAUCACUGGCUACUCAUUUUCUAGUUCAGAGAAGGAAUGGCUGCAGUGGGGGACUUAGUGAGAACUCAGUUGCCUUUCUUAUCUGUAAAAACAGCCAUUGCAAAUAAAGAGUGGCAAAGAUUAAAUAAUAGACGUAUGCGCUCCAUGUCUGAUCUGUAAACGGGAGACAUGAUUUUAGACUGUUACAGGAAGAACCAAGUCAGUGGGUUGAAAGCCCUAGGAAACGUAGCAGUGUCCUCAUUGUUGGAAUCUUCUUCCUAGGGACCAUGGAGAUGGCUCAGUGGGUGAAGGACCUACCACUAACCCUGAUGAACCCACAUAGAAGGAGAGAACUAAUUUCCACAAGUCCUCUGACCUCCACACUUGCACAGCCACAUAUGAACGUACAAAAUAAAUAAAUAUAAUAGAAAUAAAAGGAACAAGAAUGUUGGCUACUUCCUAAGCCCCCCUACCUGAGGUUUAAACAUGUAUGCUUGUUUCUCUUUCCCAUACUCAAGUUUACUCACAGAUGUGUUUCCCAGUAAGAGCUGUUUCUGGUUGCAGGGGCUUGAUACAACAAGCAGAAAAAACAAAACAAGACAAAAAAACAGGCAUAGUAAGAGUGUCCCCUAAAACCUCAACAUAGUGGUUCUUCCAGAAGCCUACGGAAUUUUCCACUAGAACAACGGUGUAGUUGGAGAUAUUGGAAUUGGACACUAAGAGCUUGGGUUCAUGGUGACACACAUCUAUGAAGAAGGGAGGUCGGCCAGGCAGGGGUGGCGCACGCCUUUAAUCCCAGCACUAGGGAGGCAGAGGCAGGCAGAUUUCUGAGUUUGAGGCUAGCCUGGUCUACAGAGUGAGUUCUAGGACAGCCAGGGCUAUACAGAGAAACCCUGUCUCGAAAAGAAGAAGAAGAAGAAGNNAAGAAGAAGAAGAA
ensembl:antisense Gm11696 predicted gene 11696